AGCUGAAAUUGUUUUCUGAGAAUGAAUCCAAAAGUAUGAACAAAUGUUGAAAACGCCAAAAAGUCUUUUUCGUUUUCAGUCUCUCAGAAUCAAAGCCAACUCUUCUCCAUGAAAUGAGCAAACAAUCCAAUCAAAUUAUAUCCAAAAAAAUCAAAUCUCCUCAUUCCAACCAUAAUCAGCCCCAAAAUUCAAGAAAACAAACUCAUAAUCACACAAAUUUGCAACUGAGAAAAAAAGACAAAGGAAGAAGAAAAGAAAAAAAUACAGAGAGAGGAAAAAGAAGAGGAAGAAUUAGAGAGAGGGAGAAGAAUAAGGGAAAGAAUCAGAAAGAGGGAGAAGAAGAGAAAGGGAAGAGAGAGAGAGAGAGAGAGAGAGAGAGAGAGAUGAGAGAAACCAACCACCACAUAUCCAGCUCAACCACUAUCACCACCCAAUCUAACCACCACUAUCAUUAAUUAGUGGAGCCAGAGAGAGAUGAGUUGUCUUGCCGUGGCUUCAGUCGACAUUCGCGUUCGCUGCCGUCGAUUUCUCGUUCCCUGGGCUUAUGACAUUGGAGGUCACUGGCUUCGGCAAACACACACGCACGGCUGUGGAUUUUCCACCGCCAACGGAGUUGUUCGCACAAAGACUAGCAUGACCCUCCACUCGGUUCGAACGCUGAUGAAGACGAAGAUUCGUUCUGGGUUCCGUUCUCAGCGGAGCGCCCCAAUCUAUCCAUUGCUGCACGCGUUCCGUUAAUCGAGUGUCGUGGAUGACCCGUUCAUGACGGCGCUCACUCACCUUCGUGAUGGCGACUCAGUUUUGCCGGCUUUGGUGGUGGGUAGCGGUGAUGAUUUUUACUGGCUGCUUAAUACGUCGUUUCAAUCUCGUCAUCCUCAUGUACAAAUAUGAGACGAAGGCUGACAUUGAUGGUGACAAACCACUAGAAGCGGCGGAUUUCCUCAACUUGAGCUUUGGCCUAAUGUCGAUUCACACAUGUUUUAUGAAGUGCCCACAUAUCCUACUUUGUUCAUCUUAGCUACUGACGCUGUCAACUGUAGCUUUUGGGAACUCACAGUAGGAAGUGGAUCCCACAGUUGCGCAUGAAGACAUGUGAACAUAUGGAAUGGACAAUUUGUUCUCUGAGCUAGCAAAUGCCAUUCCAAGAAUUGAUGAAGCCAUGAGCUUUGCUGAGAUGCUAAGGUUUAUUUGACAUUGUGGGUCUCAUUCAUUGGUGAAAAUAUAUGAGGGGAGCUGUGAUGGUUGCCAUUGUUGCUACAAUUGGUAACAUUCUACAAGGAUAUGGGAUGGUGCUACAAUUGCUGGCUAAUUUCAGUAAACAAAUUGAAGAAACAUAGAGCAUUUGGAGCUGGGGUGUCAUGGGUUGAUGUGCCUGGGAUAAUAACUUAGCAAAGAGGGAGGGAGAAGGAGAUUGUGGAAUUUUAUCUGAUGUGCUCUCCUUUAGUGUUGCUGUUUUUUACUCAUGAAAUUUGAAGUUUUUAUUUUAUCGUUUUUGUAUUAACUAUGUGAGGUUAUGGUUGGUUUAUGAGUUUGGAAUGGAAAGUUGAUGACUUUAAAACUAAUUGCAGGUCACUCGCCUAAUGGAUUUGAUUCUAUACAGCCACAAGGAGGUGUUUCUUAGGGAAGCUUGUGAGUCCAUCCAAACUGGUUUCAUUUCCUUAGAAAGCAGAGAGGGAUGCUACAUAUUUAAAAGGCUCCAUGAGAAAAAGAAUGGAGUUCCUCUGCAGAUAUGGGAUGCAAUUUAAGGAGGAGAAAGCAAUUACAUCCAUUUCUAUGUUUUUUCAUUUCUGUUGCUCCUCACUAAGAACUUGGAUACAUUUAAGCAGAGACACAUUUUCAUGCCGUGGCUUCCGUCGACAUUUGUCUUUGCUGUUGUUGAUUUCUCGUUCCCUCGGCUUACGCCAUUGGAGGUCACUGACUUCGGGAACCACACACACACGACCAUGGAUUUUCUAUUGCCAACGGAGUUGUUCGCACAAAGACUAGCAUGACCCUCCACUCGGUUCGAACGCCGAUGAAGAGGAAGAUUCGUUUUGGGUUCCGUUCUCAAUGGUGCGCCCCAAUCUAUCCAUUGCUGCAUGCGUUCCGUUAAUCGAGUGUUGUAGAUGAACCGUUCUUGACAGUGCUCACUCACCUUCGUGAUGGCGACUCAGUUUUGCCAGCUUUGGUGGUGGGUAUUGGUGAUGAUUUUUACUGGCUACACAAUAUGUCCUUUCAAUCUCAUCAUCCUCAUGUAUAAACUCCGUGGGGAUGGGUUUACAUGGCGGCAAAUGUAUUUGUUUAUGCACACAUGUAGCACAUAUAUUGGUAGGAAUAUAAGAGGCUCCUAU